CUGGAUCCAUUCCAUCCAGUAUAAGAGAUCACUACUUAAAAGGUAUUUUGUUUAUUUUAUUUAUUUUUAUUCUUGCAUUCCUAACUAAAUCUUUUUGUUUUAUAGUGAUGUCAAAUUCGGUGUGCUUUCUGGAUCCACCAGACAUCAUGCUGAACCCUGUUGAAGGCCCAUCAGUUGAGGAGGAUGAGGAGACUGUGUCAGUAUGUUCAAGGAGGCCUGAGGAUGCUGACACCCUUCUAGAGCCCUCUCAGUCUGGGACCACAUGUGACCAAGU